UACGGGGGGGCAAGCGGUUGUUCGGAAUUACUGGGCGUAAAGGGCUCGUAGGUGGCCAACUAAGUCAGACGUGAAAUCCCUCGGCUUAACCGGGGAACUGCGUCUGAUACUGGAUGGCUUGAGGUUGGGAGAGGGAUGCGGAAUUCCAGGUGUAGCGGUGAAAUGCGUAGAUAUCUGGAGGAACACCGGUGGCGAAGGCGGCGAUCCUGGACCAAUUCUGACGCUGAGGAGCGAAAGCCAGGGGAGCAA
rnacentral:rRNA from 1 species